CUGAGAGGAUGAUCCGCCACACUGGGACUGAGACACGGCCCAGACUCCUACGGGAGGCAGCAGUGGGGAAUAUUGGACAAUGGGCGCAAGCCUGAUGCAGCCAUGCCGCGUGUGUGAAGAAGGCCUUAUGGUUGUAAAGCUCUUUAAUCGAGGAGGAGCCUACUUUAGAUAAUACCUAGAGAUAGUGGACGUUACUCGCAGAAUAAGCACCGGCUAACUCUGUGCCAGCAGCCGCGGUAAUACAGAGGGUGCAAGCGUUAAUCGGAUUUUCUGGGCGUAAAGCGCGCGUAGGCGGCUAAUUAAGUCAAAUGUGAAAUCCCCGAGCUUAACUUGGGAAUUGCAUUCGAUACUGGUUAGCUAGAGUGUGGGAGAGGAUGGUAGAAUUCCAGGGGUAGCGGUGAAAUGCGUAGAGAUCUGGAGGAAUACCGAUGGCGAAGGCAGCCAUCUGGCCUAACACUGACGCUGAGGUGCGAAAGCAUGGGGAGCAACCAGGAUUAGAUACCCUGGUAGUCCAUGCCGUAACCGAUAUCUCCUAGCCGUUGGGGCCUUGAGGCUUUAGUGGCGCAGCUAA
rnacentral:rRNA from 1 species